UGAAGGGAUGAAAAUACAACCUAAGCUAAUGAGAAGCUUAAAAUUGUUCUGAAUUCCAGAGUUUGUUCCUUAUAGGUAAAAGGUUAGGUUUUUUUGCUGUUUUAAAAUAUGCGGAAGUAAAAUAGGCCCUGAGUACGUGUCUCUAGACAUGAAACUUCUUGAAACUAUUUGAGAUAACAAGAACAGGGAGUUUCUAACUGCUUGUUCAGCUUCUGUAAAACUGCUUGCAAAAGAUAAAAGGAGAGGAGGUUAAUCUCUAAAGCAACCUCAAAUUGGUUGCGCCAUAAAGAUGUUGAAACGUUGAUACACAUAUCUUGGUGACAACAUGUCUCCCCGAAACAUGCGCAAAUGUGUAACUCCAAAACAAUUUAAAUUAAUUGGUCCACGAAGCGUGGGCUUUGUUGUGAACCCCAUAAAAGCUGUCCCGACUCCACACUCGCCGCCGCAGUCCUCUACCCCUGCGUGGUGUAUGACUGUGGGCCCCAGCGCGCUUGGAAUAAAAAUCCUCUUGCUGUUUGCAUCAAGACCGCUUCUCGUGAGUGAUUAAGGGGAGUCGCCUCUUCCGAGCCUAGAAGUUCUUUUUGCUGGUCUUACAUUUGGGGGCUCGUCCGGGAUCUGUCGCGGCCACCCUUAACACCCGAGAACCGACUUGGAGUUUUAAUAUGGGACAGACGGUGACGACCCCUCUCCUGCUUGGCUGAGGAGCCAAUGGGGCAAAGCUACCAUCUCCGGUCCCCCGCGGUCCCCGCCGGCGGGCCGCCGCGCGCGCCCACGUGGGCGUGUCCCGUCGCGCGUCGGGACCGGGGUCCGGUGCGGAGAGCCCUUCGUCCUGGGAAACGGGGCGCGGCCGGAAAGCGCGGCCGCCCCCUCGCCCGUCACGCACCGCACGUUCGUGGGGAACCUGGUGCUAAACCAUCCGUAGACGACCUGCUUCUGGGUCGGGGUUUCGUACGUAGCAGAACAGCUC